AUAGUUUGAUCCUGGCUCAGAACGAACGCUGGCGGCGUGCCUAACACAUGCAAGUCGAACGUGAAAGUCCUUCGGGAUGAGUAAAGUGGCGCACGGGUGAGUAACACGUAGGUGACCUUCCGUUUAGAGGGGAAUAACCAGAAGAAAUUUUGGCUAAUGCCGCAUACGAAGCACAAACCUUAGAGUAGUGCUUGAAAGAAUGCCUCUGCAUAUGCAUUCACUAAACGAUGGGCCUGCGGUACAUUAGCUAGUUGGUGGGGUAAUGGCCUACCAAGGCAACGAUGUAUAUCCGGUCUGAGAGGAUGAUCGGACACACUGGAACUGAGACACGGUCCAGACUCCUACGGGAGGCAGCAGUGGGGAAUAUUGCGCAAUGGGGGAAACCCUGACGCAGCAACGCCGCGUGAGUGAGGAAGGACUUCGGUCUGUAAAGCUCUGUUAAUGUGGAAAAAUGGUUAGUGGUCUAAUAGGCCAUUGAUUUGAUGGUACACAUAGAGGAAGCACCGGCUAACUUCGUGCCAGCAGCCGCGGUAAUACGAAGGGUGCAAGCGUUGUUCGGAUUUAUUGGGCGUAAAGCGCGCGUAGGCGGACCUGCAAGUCAGAUGUGAAAUCUCGGGGCUCAACCCCGAAACUGCGUCUGAAACUACAGGUCUAGAAUCUUGGAGGGGGAAGGGGAAUUUCACAUGUAGGGGUAAAAUCCGUAGAUAUGUGAAGGAACACCAGAGGCGAAGGCGCCUUCCUGGACAAGUAUUGACGCUGAGGCGCGAAAGCGUGGGGAUCAAACAGGAUUAGAUACCCUGGUAGUCCACGCUGUAAACGAUGAAUACUAGAUAUUGCAGGAUUUGACCCCUGCAGUGUCGUAGCUAACGCGUUAAGUAUUCCGCCUGGGAAGUACGGUCGCAAGACUAAAACUCAAAGGAAUUGACGGGGGCCCGCACAAGCGGUGGAGCAUGUGGUUUAAUUCGACGCAACGCGAAGAACCUUACCUGGGCUCGAACGGCUUCUCAACGACGGUAGAAAUACUGUUAUCCCGCAAGGGAGUGGAGUCGAGGUGCUGCAUGGCUGUCGUCAGCUCGUGUCGUGAGAUGUUGGGUUAAGUCCCGCAACGAGCGCAACCCUCGUCCUGUGUUGCCAUCAUUCAGUUGGGAACUCGCAGGAGACCGCCAGCGAUAAGUUGGAGGAAGGUGGGGAUGACGUCAAGUCAUCAUGGCCUUUAUGUCCAGGGCUACACACGUGCUACAAUGGCCGGUACAAACCGUUGCGAAGUCGCGAGACGGAGCUAAUCGGAGAAAACCGGUCUCAGUUCGGAUUGCAGGCUGCAACUCGCCUGCAUGAAGCUGGAAUCGCUAGUAAUGCCGUGUCUAUCGUGACU
rnacentral:rRNA from 1 species